ACAGCUGAGAACAAGCUGAAGAUGGGCCAUCAAGCCCCUAAAGAGUGGUGAGAAGAAAUAGUUAACGACAGGUCCUUCCACGUGUUUGGUAUAUCAAGACAUCCUUUCACCUGUGUGCCCCUGCAAAAUAUCAUUUGACAUAAACUAACUUCCCAAAGAAACUAAAAGUUUCCACUUCGGGCAUUCAACAAAAUCUUGGGUGAUUUGACAGCAAACCUGGAUUCAUGAAGACCAUUAACUUAGAAGGGAAAAGCUGAAAAUACAGUAGCAUAGAUUUCUCUGUGUGUCAGCAACUGUUUCAAAUCUUCAAAAUCAUAGUAAUGUGCUUAACCCUUCUGGGAAAGUCUAAAAUGGGAUUUCUUACUCCAAUAUUCUCUUGAGUAGUGUAAUUUUUAAAUAAUCUAAUUCCAUGGGCAACAACUUCGGCUAUUCAUUUACAGCUUGCAAAAGGCGUCACUUCUCCAUUCUGUUGAAGUAACUGACAGCUGGGGCAGGCAUCAUGUGGUUCCAGUUCAUUAUUAUUUUAUUGGGAUUAAAAUAAUUAACUUAUAUACCUCAUUUCCUCAUCACACAAGUAAAACAAAAUAAACAGAACAAAACAGAUCCCUUACGGAAAAAAAAAAAAGAAACAGACUGGAUUUCCAAGUCUAGCAACGGUAGAUAUCUCUGAAAUACUAGUCUAUUCUGCUUUCACUGGAUUUCUGUUACAAAAAUUAGAGUCUUGAAUCUCAAAUGUACCUUACAGACAGCUAUUAAAAUAAGCCAGGAAUGCAGGAAAGGAGAGUUUUCUCAUAGAACAGUUUUUGUUCGUGCUCAUAUCUCAGACAGCUUUAACUAAAAUGCAACAAUCUAAAAAUACAUACAUGUUAUUCUGGUGCAGUGAAAUGGCCAUAAUUUUUAUUUACUUUUAGUUUCUUCCUGAAGGCAAAAAUCUAAAAGGAAACACCUGCAGACUCUGACUUGUAGUCUUUGACUUCUCUGGAAAUACGAUCCACACACUGGAGUUCGGACAGUUUGGUUUCAGCUUGGGUGAAGGCCUAAUUGUGAAGGGCUUUUUAAAUGGCCACCUGUUCUUCUCCCCUAGCGGCAACAGCUCAGCCUUCCUCCACAGCCAGCACCAGCACAGCACGUCCCUUUACUGAGCUUGCACUGGCAUCUCUGCUGAGAUUGCUCUUCUGGCCACUGUAUAGGGGACACUACUGUUUUCCUGUGAUGGCCCAUGCCAGUACUCUGAUCACCUACCCAGCUGUCAUUGGCAAAGAUGCAGAGUGCAUGUUAUAGUCAGAUCCUUGGGUCUCAGAGACAAUUUUAGGGUGGAAGCCUCCUGGGUUCUAUGUCCUGCUUCAUGAGCGCAGAAACACAGCUUCCAGAAGACUGAUCUUCCACCAAUGGGAGUAAGGAGUGGUGUUGCUGGGGACCGAGCAAGGAGUCGAGGAAGAAGGAGAAGAGACAAUACUUAACACACCACCGUCUUCCUGCCUCUCCUCAACUGCUUCUCGUUGACACAGAAGAAACCGAUGAGUAUAGAAGACGUGGUUUCUAAACUAAAAAUAGUAAUAAUUAUCACUUUCCUUUACUGAUUUCCAGUCACAGACUAUGAUAAGUAAGAGUUGUCGCACUGCCUGGUCACUUACAAAAAAGCCAACAGCAGUUCGCGUAUGGGCAACUUUUUUGGAGCUAACAAUUAUAAGCAAAGAAUAAGACCGGUGACUCAUCACCAAGAUGUUCAUUAGUCUUUCUUCAGCCUCAGCGAUGUUGUUCCUAUAAAUAAGCAACUCCUGAAGCUCAAACCCCCUGCUGCUUAGCCUUAGAAACAUGUGCAUGCGCACUUGGUGCUUAAGCACUCCUUGCUUAGGCCACAACUCAGAACCCAUCAGCUCUCUCAUUCGCAUAACGUAUGAUUUUUGCACCAAAUGAACUCAUAUUUUCAAAAUAACGUGCCUCGCCUUCUCAUGCUAUACAUAUCAAAAUCUUGAUUUUCCUUUUUCUCCACCUUCCCAUCCUAGUCAGCUAUCUGCCCUAUAAUAAAACAGUGACCAUUUUUGACU